CCAGCUACACACGACCGUACCGCAAACCGACACUGGUGCGCGAGAUGAGUAUUCUAAGGCGCUUGAGAGAACUCAGGAGAAGGAACUCGGCAAAUUGACACCGUAACUUCGGAAGAAGGUGUGCCUUUAGUAGGUGAACCAUUUACUUGGCGAGCCCAAUGAGGUUGCAAAAAAUCGGUGGCUGCGACUGUUUAUUAAAAACACAGCACUCUGCAAACACGAAAGUGGACGUAUAGGGUGUGACGCCUGCCCGGUGCUGGAAGAUUAAAUGAUGGGGUGCAAGCUCUUGAUUGAAGUCCCAGUAAACGGCGGCCGUAACUAUAACGGUCCUAAGGUAGCGAAAUUCCUUGUCGGGUAAGUUCCGACCUGCACGAAUGGCGUAACGAUGGCCACACUGUCUCCUCCUGAGACUCAGCGAAGUUGAAAUGUUUGUGAUGAUGCAAUCUCCCCGCGGAAAGACGGAAAGACCCCAUGAACCUUUACUGUAGCUUUGUAUUGGACUUUGAACAGAUCUGUGUAGGAUAGGUGGGAGGCUUUGAAGCGGUGCCGCUAGGUAUCGUGGAGCCAACGUUGAAAUACCACCCUGGUGUGUUUGAGGUUCUAACCUUGGUCCACUAUCUGGAUUGGGGACAGUGCAUGGUAGGCAGUUUGACUGGGGCGGUCUCCUCCCAAAGCGUAACGGAGGAGUUCGAAGGUACGCUAGUUACGGUCGGACAUCGUGACGAUAGUGCAAUGGCAUAAGCGUGCUUAACUGCGAGACUGACAAGUCGAGCAGAUGCGAAAGCAGGACAUAGUGAUCCGGUGGUUCUGUAUGGAAGGGCCAUCGCUCAACGGAUAAAAGGUACUCUGGGGAUAACAGGCUGAUACCGCCCAAGAGUUCAUAUCGACGGCGGUGUUUGGCACCUUGAUGUCGGCUCAUCUCAUCCUGGGGCUGUAGCCGGUCCCAAGGGUAUGGCUGUUCGCCAUUUAAAGAGGUACGUGAGCUGGGUUUAAAACGUCGUGAGACAGUUUGGUCCCUAUCUUCCGUGGGCGCUGCAGAUUUGAGGAAGCCUGCUCCUAGUACGAGAGGACCGGAGUGGACACACCUCUGGUGUAUCGGUUGUCACGCCAGUGGCAUUGCCGAGUAGCUAAGUGUGGAAGAGAUAACCGCUGAAAGCAUCUAAGCGGGAAACUCGUUUCAAGAUGAGAUCUGCCGGGGCCUUGAGCCCCCUAAAGAGUCGUUCAAGACCAGGACGUUGAUAGGUCAGGUGUGGAAGCGCAGUAAUGCGUUAAGCUAACUGAUACUAAUUGCUCGUGCGGCUUGACC
rnacentral:rRNA from 1 species